rnacentral:lncRNA from 1 species
UUUUUGGAUUCAUUUGCUUUGCUAGUUCACCAUAGUCUUUCUUUUAAUUACAUAGACUCCCUACUGUAAUCACUAAAUUUUUAUUUAUCAACUUUAUUAAUUAUAAUGCAUAUUGGUAGCUUGAACAGGUCUCAGAAUGUUCUGUCAUAGAUACUGCUUUUCAGAAUCAGGACAGAUCUACUCCUGGAGCCAUAUAUAGGAGCUGCCACAGAUUCAACCUUUGAAAACCUGAAAGUCCUCAGCUGUUCCUAUGCCCCAUUGCAGUGAGCAAACAGCUGUGUAGGGUUUAGCUGCCACCUGGGGUUAAACCACAACAUGGAGGAAAUACUUGCUUUCAGGCUUGCACAGGAUAUCAUUGUUUAUGGAAAACACUAUUAGAUUUAGCAAAGCCCUGCCAGGAGACAUUUAAUGCUGUCAUCGAUAUUCGCUCUACUGUCAGGAAUAUUACACUGAGAAGAAAGACCUGGCACACAGACUUUUCCUUGAAGCUUUGAUAGUACGUUGGCUGCAGCUUAACAGUGUAAAAAUAGUGUUGCACUGCAAGCAAAAACAGGGA